rnacentral:rRNA from 1 species
AUGCAGUCGAACGAACCCUUCGGGGUUAGUGGCGCACGGGUGCGUAACGCGUGGGAAUCUGCCCUUUGCUUCGGAAUAACAGUUAGAAAUGACUGCUAAUACCGGAUGAUGUCUUCGGACCAAAGAUUUAUCGGCAAAGGAUGAGCCCGCGUAGGAUUAGGUAGUUGGUGGGGUAAAGGCCUACCAAGCCGACGAUCCUUAGCUGGUCUGAGAGGAUGAUCAGCCACACUGGGACUGAGACACGGCCCAGACUCCUACGGGAGGCAGCAGUGGGGAAUAUUGGACAAUGGACGCAAGUCUGAUCCAGCAAUGCCGCGUGAGUGAUGAAGGCCUUAGGGUUGUAAAGCUCUUUUACCAGGGAUGAUAAUGACAGUACCUGGAGAAUAAGCUCCGGCUAACUCCGUGCCAGCAGCCGCGGUAAUACGGAGGGAGCUAGCGUUGUUCGGAAUUACUGGGCGUAAAGCGCACGUAGGCGGUUACUCAAGUCAGAGGUGAAAGCCCGGGGCUCAACCCCGGAACUGCCUUUGAAACUAGGUAACUAGAAUCCUGGAGAGGUGAGUGGAAUUCCGAGUGUAUAGGUGAAAUUCG